GCCCGGGUAGCUCAAUUGGUCAGAGCGUCGGACUUUUAACCUCACUAUACCGAUAAGGGAAAAAGUCCAUCCGAAGGUUGGGGGUUCGAGACCCCCCUCGGGCG